ensembl:snRNA U6 U6 spliceosomal RNA
GUGUUUGCUUCGGCAGCACAUAUACUAAAAUUGGAACAAUACAGAGAAGAUUAGCAUGGCCCCCGAGCAAGGAUGACACCGCGAAUUUGUGAAACGUUCCAUAUUUUU